GCGACCUCCAGUUGGUUCUUCUGAGGUUGGUACUAGUUGUUUCUUUUCCCUUCUUGAAUCUUGAAUUGCCUGGCAAAAGAAAAGAAAAGAACUAUGAAGGUGAAAGGGAAAGGUGGUUGUGAAAGGCAGGCAAAGAGGAUGUGGGGAAACCAAGCGAGAAAGUGGGAUUGCAGUUGAUCACUAAGUGGUGGCGGAUUUGUGUUGGUUCUUGGUGCGACAGCAAGAACAAAGGUCAUCUCUGUCCGUAUCCUGAUCCUGUUGAAGUUUCCCGCUUUGGUGGUCGGAGUGGGAAGGGCGAAACGAGGGUUUGGUGGCAGAGACGGACUGGCGCUAACCGGAGUUUAUUUCGGUUCUUGCGUGCUGACGACAUAGGCAAGAUAAGAGGGACGGUGUUCGUGGAAUUGCCUCCUUGGGGGCGGCUGAGGAGGAGCAAGGAUGACGAUGCCGUGGGGAGUCGCGGUUUGCAUCGUGGACAUGGUGUGGGCGGUGCUCGCCGGCUGGGUGUCCACCUGCCUGUUAGUAGCCAAUGAGGUCGCCCGCGCCAUGCGCAAUGGCGAGAUCAGCCCAUUUGUAGUCGGCUGAGUUGUUCGACGCAGUUGAUUCAUUCGUUCCUGCAGGUAGUUCUUUUUUUCAGUCCAUUACAUUCGAUGGCAUUAUACUGUACAGAGACCAUAGAUUGCAUGGCUUCAGUCUUCAGAAUUAGAGGAUGAUUUUCUUUUGUUUCGAGGAUUUUUGAGUUGUGGUAAUGUUGUAAAGUCUUUGCACUACCACAUAAGAACAAACACACUAUCUUUCAGUGGUAUGGUUCAAGAGUUAGCCCUGUAAAAUAAUUCUGAAUUGAAAUUUCAUAUUUAAUGUUCUGUAUUCCUGCGGGAUCUGAAUGAUCCGACAACACCAUUUUUUUAAGGGUA